GGAGAAUCAGAAUUGUCAUGCCAAAGAAUGAAAACCAAGCCUAGGGAGAAAAAGACAGUCUGAUGUUUAUAUGGGGUGCACAGCCUAAGAAGACCGACAGAGAAGGCUUGAUCAGCAUAAGCUGCAAUCAUCCUCUCUUUCCCCA
rnacentral:lncRNA from 1 species